rnacentral:rRNA from 1 species
CCUACGGGGGGCAGCAGUGGGGAAUAUUGGACAAUGGGCGAAAGCCUGAUCCAGCCAUGCCGCGUGUGUGAAGAAGGCCUUCGGGUUGUAAAGCACUUUCAGUGGGGAAGAAAGCCUUGGGGCUAAUACCCUCGAGGAAGGACAUCACCCACAGAAGAAGCACCGGCUAACUCCGUGCCAGCAGCCGCGGUAAUACGGAGGGUGCGAGCGUUAAUCGGAAUUACUGGGCGUAAAGCGCGCGUAGGCGGUCUGAUAAGCCGGUUGUGAAAGCCCCGGGCUCAACCUGGGAACGGCAUCCGGAACUGUCAGGCUAGAGUGCAGGAGAGGAAGGUAGAAUUCCCGGUGUAGCGGUGAAAUGCGUAGAGAUCGGGAGGAAUACCAGUGGCGAAGGCGGUCUUCUGGACUGACACUGACGCUGAGGUGCGAAAGCGUGGGUAGCAAACAGGAUUAGAUACCCCUGUAGUC